rnacentral:rRNA from 1 species
GGUUGGGGAUGGGCCCGCGGCCUAUCAGCUUGUUGGUGGGGUAAUGGCCUACCAAGGCGACGACGGGUAGCCGACCUGAGAGGGUGAUCGGCCACACUGGGACUGAGACACGGCCCAGACUCCUACGGGAGGCAGCAGUGGGGAAUAUUGCACAAUGGGCGCAAGCCUGAUGCAGCGACGCCGCGUGAGGGAUGACGGCCUUCGGGUUGUAAACCUCUUUCACCAGGGACGAAGCGUGAGUGACGGUACCUGGAGAAGAAGCACCGGCCAACUACGUGCCAGCAGCCGCGGUAAUACGUAGGGUGCAAGCGUUGUCCGGAAUUACUGGGCGUAAAGAGCUCGUAGGCGGUUUGUCGCGUCGUCUGUGAAAUUCUGCAGCUUAACUGCAGGCGUGCAGGCGAUACGGGCAGACUUGAGUACUACAGGGGAGACUGGAAUUCCUGGUGUAGCGGUGAAAUGCGCAGAUAUCAGGAGGAACACCGGUGGCGAAGGCGGGUCUCUGGGUAGUAACUGACGCUGAGGAGCGAAAGCGUGGGUAGCGAACAGGAUUAGAUACCCUGGUAGUCCACGCCGUAAACGGUGGGUACUAGGUGUGGGUUCCAUUUCACGGGAUCCGUGCCGUAGCUAACGC